CAGCAGUCUGGUGAGAAAUCUUCUGAUUGCACCUCUGUUUGGUCUUAAACUUCAGAUUUAUAAAAUCUGUUAUUUAUUUAAUCACCUCAUACUUUCAGGUACAUCUGCUAAAACAUAUAAUGGUUGUUUUCAACUGAAAGACUGGAAGAAAGUGCACAUCGCAUCAGCCUCUUUUUGCCGGUUUCAAAGGAAAACAUCCAGCGGCACCUCUGCUGACCUGCAGCAAAAUAUUCAGGUGUUAUACUAAGAUGGGGAUUGCUUCAGCAGCCUAAGGCGACAGGAAGAUAUAGCAGCUGUUCAGAGGACAACAUGAGGGAUUCACGUUUGUACAAAAAUGGAGCUCUUCCGAUGGAGAAGAAAGAAGAAUCUGUAUUCUUGGUGGCUUUUGAUGAUAAGCCAAACAUUAUCUGCUUCCUAUUGUGUACUUCCAAAGUGUGUACCUCCAUCAUCAGACAGCUGUGGUCUACAAGGGAGAAACAGCAACAUGGGAAGUCAUGUAGGUCCCCUGGAAAUUAAGCUCAUCUCUAUGGUCUCUUCACACAUUUCAAUUCAACUCAAUUCAAAAAUACUUUUUUGAUUCCAAAGGGAAAUUAAAUAUUAAAUUUAAUUAUAUAAUUUAAUUUAUUAAUGUAGUAAUUCAUAUAUCACUGCACUGUUUUCAUUUUUAACACAUUAAUGACAGAUUUUUUUAGUCUUUUGUUUGUUUUAUACAAUUAAGUCCUGAAAUAAAUGUGCUGCAUCAGUUGACUUACUGCUUAUCCCUGUGGCCCAUGGUGCAGUGCUGCAUCUCUGGUCAGUUGGUAGUCUGAGAUGAAGCACUGUAGCUCGGGACGGAGGACAGACAGAGCUGUUGAGGUAUGUCCGUAACAAGGAAGAAGCAUCUAUCAAGAUUGGCGGAACUAUGAGAUGUUUCUCUAGAGAAGAAAGGAGAACGUGAAGCUGGCAUCCAUGGAGUUAUAAAGGAUAUUCUGUCUACCAUUCUGUAAUUUUUUCUGUUUUGUAUUGCUCCUUUCUUAUUUUAUGAACUCCAGCUGAGUUCAUAAAAUAAGAACUCAGCUUUUAUUUAUUUAUUUUUUCCAAAAGUAGAAUUUUGAACAGUCACUCUUUUCAGUUAGUUUUUCCUUUACCCUUUUCUCUGGGGUCCAGUUUUCCCAGGAAUCCCUUCACUCACGAGAAAGGGGGAUUCCUGGAAAUACUGAUCUUGGGGGCGAGGCCUCUCACCAAGUCCAGUAUGACAUUAAUAGAGUAGAAGGAAUUAAUAUGUGUGAACUCCUAAAAAAAAAAGAGUUGACAGCUGUGAGAUAUCUUAAAAAAGACAAAGUGACUUACGCUCCUCAUGUUUUACUUGCAUAUCAUUUCAAAUUGUAUAUCUAAUGUAUUUGGUUGUCUGACAGAAUAAAGAAAACAGUUAAAAAAUAA